GCGCAACCCUUGUCCUUAGUUACCAGCACGUUAUGGUGGGCACUCUAAGGAGACUGCCGGUGACAAACCGGAGGAAGGUGGGGAUGACGUCAAGUCAUCAUGGCCCUUACGGCCUGGGCUACACACGUGCUACAAUGGUCGGUACAAAGGGUUGCCAAGCCGCGGGGUGGAGCUAAUCCCAUAAAACCGAUCGUAGUCCGGAUCGCAGUCUGCAACUCGACUGCGUGAAGUCGGAAUCGCUAGUAAUCGUGAAUCAGAAUGUCACGGUGAAUACGUUCCCGGGCCUU
rnacentral:rRNA from 1 species